rnacentral:RNase_P_RNA from 1 species
AGGGCAGGAUGCCGGAUAACGUCCGGUGGAGGUGACUCCAAGGCCAGUGCAACAGAAAUAUACCGCCGGCUUAGGCCGGUAAGGGUGGAAGGGCAGUGUAAGAGACUACCGCUUCCGUGGUAACACGGGAGGCAUAUGUAAACCCCAUCCGAAGCAAGACCAAAACGAAGCGAUUACGUGGCCCGCCAGCUUCAGGUAGGUUGCUUGAGCCUGCCGGUAACGGCAGGACUAGAUAGAUGACCAUUCAAGACAUAACCCGGCUUACAGGUUCACUCGU